GCACGGGUGAGUAACACGUGACUAACCUACCCUGGAGUGGGGGAUAACUGAGGGAAACCUUAGCUAAUACCGCAUAAUACCUAUGGGUCAAAGGAGCAAUUCGCUUUGGGAGGGGGUCGCGGCCGAUUAGUUAGUUGGCGGGGUAACGGCCCACCAAGACGAUGAUCGGUAUCCGGCCUGAGAGGGCGCACGGACACACUGGAACUGAAACACGGUCCAGACUCCUACGGGAGGCAGCAGUGGGGAAUUUUGCGCAAUGGGGGAAACCCUGACGCAGCAACGCCGCGUGGAGGAUGAAGUCCUUCGGGACGUAAACUCCUUUCGAUCGGGACGAUUAUGACGGUACCGGAAGAAGAAGCCCCGGCUAACUUCGUGCCAGCAGCCGCGGUAAUACGAGGGGGGCGAGCGUUGUUCGGAAUUAUUGGGCGUAAAGGGUGCGUAGGCGGUUUUGUAAGUCUUAUGUGAAAUCUAUGGGCUCAAUCAUAGACUGCAUGAGAAAUGGAAGGGGCUCGAGUAUGGGAGAGGUGAGUGGAAUUCCCGGUGUACGGUGAAAUGCGUAGAUAUCGGGGAGGAACACCUGUU
rnacentral:rRNA from 1 species